AGACAUUUCAAAUUAUCAAACUAGAAAUUAUAUUAAACACAUCGUCAGUUACCUAUUUGGAUAUUAUUAUUAUUUUAUCAAAAAUCAUGUGUGACAACAUCUUGCAAGUGCAAUUAACGCCUAUUUUAACGUCCCCCGCCAGGAAGAGAUGGCGUUGGGCGUUUAAAAUUCUCUAUACUUCCAGGGCAUUGCUGUCUACAGCCAGGAAGAUUGUUGCUGAAAAACAAACCAAAUGAAGACCACCACUAUUUAUAGUUGAGAGAGUCUUCCUAGCAAUGAAUAGGAAGAUAAUGGGUAGUAAAUAGUGAAGAUAAUGACCUUAGGAGUUACAUAGGUUACAAGGUAUAAUAGAGGAAUUAUGAGUGACAAUCAAGUAGGCACUAAUGCCAUCAACGCAAUUUUGCAUCUGUUGCAAAACUGAAGUGCCAUAUUGCACUAACUCCUAAUGGUGUAAUGCUCCAAAUAAAUGUCCAACGGUUAAGACAAAAGAAUUAUCCACCAACGGACAAUUUCACAGCAAAUGCCAUACUUUGACUCCAUACAUUUCAAGCAAAUUAAUAUACAAAAAUAUUAAUAUUAAAAUGCUGACCAACAAGGAUUAAUUAUUAUAGAAAAUAAAAGGUUUUGAAAACACUAUUUUUUUUAAAUACUUAUAAAACUAAGCAGUUUGGGCAGCUAUGUUAAACAUGCUCUAAGUGUCUCGUGGAGAAAGAUGACAAAAACCAACUACAAUUACAAAGACAAGAGGCAACGUAACCCACAACUUGGAGGCUCAAUGGAGCCAACUGGUUCACAAUUUGAAUUGCUGAUUUGCUGUCACUGUGUAAUAUAACUGGGAGUUGCACAUUUACAUUCAACUCUUUACACAAACCAAUUAGCCAUAGAAUUUCUGAUACACCUGCUGCCAUGCUUCUGUACUCUGCUUCUGCUGAGCUCCUAGAUACAGUCGUUUGUUUCUUUGCCUUCCAAGAUAUCAAUGAUUCCCCAAGCUUCAUUACAUAGCCUGUAACAGACCUUCUUGAGAUAGGACAUGUGGCCCAAUCAGCAUCACAGAAACCUGUUAAUUCAGUAGACUGCUUUGAUACCAUGUUAGAAUUCAGAAACAUUGCAGUGACUUCCAUUAAUGGAGGAAAUCUAAAACUGCUAUUGGUUGUAAAUGGGUUUUUAAAAUCAAGUACAAGGCUUGUGGUGUUGUUGAAAGAUACAAGGCUCGGCUUGUGGCAAAAGGGUAUAACCAGAAGGAAGGUUUAGACUAUGUGGAGACCUUUUCACCUGUGGUCAAGAUGGUUACUGUCAGGGUGGUACUUGCUCUUGUUGCUGCUCAUAACUGGUCUCUUCAUCAGCUUGAUGUCUACAAUGCCUUCUUGCAAGGGGAUCUUCACGAAGAAGUAUAUAUGCAUGUUCCACAGGGAUUUUCCAGUCAGGGGGAGAAACAAGUCUGUAGACUGCAUAAAUCCCUGUAUGGACUAAAGCAAGCAUCAAGACAAUGGAACUUGAAGCUCACUGAAGCAUUGAUUAACUCAGGGUUCACUCAGAGUCAUUUUGACUAUUCUCUACUUCUUCUUGAAGAUCCCCUUGCAAGAAGGCAUUGUAGACAUCAAGCUGAUGUAGAGACCAAUUAUAAGCAGCAGCAAGAGCAAGUACCACCCUGACAGUAACCAUCUUGACCACAGGUGAAAAAGUCUCCACAUAGUCUAAACCUUCCUUCUGGUUAUACCCUUUUGCCACAAGCCUAGCCUUGUAUCUUUCAACAGCACCACAAGCCUUGUACUUGAUUUUAAAAACCCAUUUACAGCCAAUAGCAGUCUUGCCAGGAGGUAGAUCAACCAAGGACCAGGUCUCAUUAUCCUUCAAGGCCUGAAGUUCUUGAUCCAUGGCCAACACCCAGUCAGGAUCCAAAGAAGCUUCAGCAUAACAAGAUGGUUCUCGCAAGGCAGUCAUCUUAGACAAGAAAGACUGAUAUGGACCAGACAAGCAUGUAUGGGACAAGUGAGAAGACAUGGGAUAAAGACAUGCAUUUGAAACACCGCUGGAAGGAAUGGAUGUACAGACAUAAUCCUGCAUCCAAGAAGGUUGUGUCUUAGUCCUUGUUGAUCUUCUGGCUUCCAGAUUAUGUGGAUGAAUGGGACCAGCAUGAGGUGUUGGAGGAAGAGUCACCUCAGGAGAGGAAAUUAGACCAGAUGCAACAUUAUCAAGAGGCAAAGAAGCUGGGACAACGACAGCAGUAGGUGAUGUAUCAGUGUUAAUAACACCAUUUGGAAAUAUGUGAAGUUGACCAGACUUUUGCAGCUGAAAAGGAAAUAUAGAUUCUUGAAAAUGUACAUCCCUGCUAACAAAGAAGUGGUUAGUUAACAGACUGUAAAGUCUGUAGCCUUUCUGAGUAGCAGAGUAGCCCAUGAGAACUGCCCCAAUAGCUUUAGGACCAAAUUUGUCACCUCCAGGAACAACAGUAGCAAAACACAAGCAUCCAAUAGUUCUCAUGUGUUGGAGAGAUGGUGGUCUCCCAUAUAACAACUCAAAAGCUGAUUUACCAUUCAAGACAGAUAAAGGGAGUCUAUUUAUGACAUAUACAGCAUUUUGAACACAUUCACCCCAAAAUUUCAGAGGCAAAUGACCGUGGAGUCUGAUUGCCCUAGCUACUUCCAAACUGUGUUUGUGUUUCCUCUCAACCAAACCAUUCUGUUGCGGAGUGUAAACACAUGAGCUUUGAUGAAUGAUACCACAAGAGUUAAACAAUGCAUCACAAUCAGAAUUAAAAAAUUCUGAUCCAUUGUCACUUCGAAACACUUUAACAGUUGCUCCAAACUGAUGCUGAAUUAGAGGAAUAAAUUGUUUCAAAACAACAAUUACAUCACUUUUGAGUUUCAACAAAAAAAUCCAUGUCAUCCUAGUAUAGUCAUCGACUAGGGUAAGAAAGAACCUACUACCAUCAUGAUUACAAACCCUAUAAGGGCCCCAAACAUCAGCAUGUAUCAUUUCUAAAGGAGAAGUAAAUCUAGUAGUUUUAACAGGAAAAGAUAGUCUUCUCUGCCUGGCUAGUGGACAAAUGGUGCAUUCUUUGAUGUUGCUACUACUUGUGCUAAAAUUCAUAUUUGGAAUUUUCAUCAGGACUUUGUCAGGAGCAUGUCCCAAUCUGUUGUGCCAUGUUUUUAAGUCUGUAUUUGUACCAAUUGGUCUUGAGUCUACAGUUGCAGUUGCUGCCAUUGCCUGCUGGUAGUCUUUCACUUGCAAUUGCAUCCUGUAUAAGCCAUCACACAUCUUACCAAUCCCCUUCACUUUCCCACUGUGAAGGUCCUGCAUAAUGCAUAGGUUAGGAUAAAAAGUGACAAAACACUUCAGAUCCUUUGUCAGUUUUGAAACUGAUAGCAGGUUGUAUUGGAAGUUUGGUAUGCAUAAGACAUCAGUAAGUUCUGCUCCACCUCCCAAGGAGCAUGAACCAAUACAUGCAAUUUCAAGGGCAUUACCAUCUGGUAAAUAAACCUUACUGGAAGGUAUGUUGUCUGCUAUUGUAGUCUCAUUAAGCAUAUGUUUAUCAUGUAUCAUGUGAUUAGUGGCCCCUGAGUCAACUAUCCAUUUAUCAUAAGCAAUUUCAUGUGUUGCUAGAAACGAAUAAAGUAUACCUGCUACAUGUUUCUCAGAUGUAGUACAGUCUUUGUUGAUCAGCUUCAGUAAUUGAUCAUACUGAUCUUGAGUGAACAUGAUACCAUUGUUGCGACUUGCAUCAGUGUCAUUCAGCUGGUUGUUCGAGCAGGUGUGUUCCUUCUCACGAGCAUAGAGAGCAUGUUGUAUUUGUGGAUCCCCCUGUGCAACUAUGUUAGCAGUUGGCCUGUACCUUGUGGGAUGGUUUCCUCCUUCAUUUGUUCCUGCUGGUCGGUUUCCUCCUCCAUUUGUUCCUGCUGGUCGGUUUCCUCCUCCAUUUGUUCCUGCUGGUCGGUUUCCUCCUCCAUUUGUUCCUGCUGGUCGGUUUCCUCCUCCAUUUGUUCCUGCUGGUCGGUUUCCUCCUCCAUUUGUUCCUGCUGGUCGGUUUCCUCCUCCAUUUGUUCCUGCUGGUCGGUUUCCUCCUCCAUUUGUUCCUGCUGGUCGGUUUCCUCCUCCAUUUGUUCCUGCUGGUCGGUUUCCUCCUCCAUUUGUUCCUGCUGGUCUUCUCUUCCCUUGUGAAUCAGGAGGAUAACCAUGUAGCUUCCAGCAUUUGUCCACUGAGUGCCCUCUCAUAUGGCAGAAUUCACAAUACAAAUCAUUAGUCCUCCUUGGUUUGAAGUUGUUGUCUGCAUCCCUAAAAUUGUUUCCUGGAUUUCGAUGAUUGCCAGUCACUCGAUUAUUGAAUAAUGCUAUCCCAUCCAUGGAUUCCCCCAUAUGAACUGAUUUGCCUAGAGAUCUUCGACUCUCUUCAGAGAUCACCAUCGAGUAUGCCUUGUUCAAGCUAGGAGUGGGAGUCAUCAUCAUGAUCUGACUUCGACAUUGGCUGUAGGACUCAUUCAACCCCAUUAAGAACUGUAACAAACGUUGAUACUCAAAAUGUUCAACAUAUUUCUUUGAUUCAGCACAUUCACAACCAGGACAUGGCAUGAGGGCAUCGAAUUCUUCCCAAAGCACCUUCAUCUUCGAGAAGUAACUCGAUAUAGAGGAAGUACCUUGAGUGAGAUGAUUAAUUUCUGUGUGUAGAUGAAACACCCUAGAUCCGUCAACCUUAUCUAGUCGUUCCUUCAAAUCAGUCCAAACUUGUGUGCGCUAGAGGCAUACAUGAUUCCACUCAAUAAUUCUUGCUAACAGCAUUCAUUAUCCAUGACAGCACUAUUGCAUUACAUUUUCCCAAAGUUCAUGCAAUGAUGUAUCGAACUUAUCCUUAGUGUGUCUUCCAUCUACAAAACCUAAUUUGCUCUUUCCUACCAGUCCAAUUCUCAUCGAUCUACUCCAAAUUGCACAAUUUUCUGGACCUGUUAGGAGAAAUGAGAUUAGAUUGUUACCUGGAGUAUCACACGCCUGCAGGCACAGAGGAUGGGGAUGAUCAAUCACUGUAGGAGUUGUGGUGGCUUCAUUAUCAAUUGCCAUUGUUGUUCGCCGAGUGCUCUGAAUCGUAGAUCCACUUCUUAGUUACAAAAAAAACUAGUGUGGUUUGUGACUUGAAUUCAGAAGUCCAGAAACUCUCCUCAAAGCUCUGAUACCAUGUUAGAAUUCAGAAACAUUGCAGUGACUUCCAUUAAUGGAGGAAAUCUGAAACUGCUAUUAAGCUUGAAUGAACAUAGGCAGAAUUCUGGGAGAAUACAGAAUUGGGAAAUUUUCUCUGAUUAAAACCAAUACUGAAAAUUUGAUCAUCUACACACUUAUAUACACGUUUUAACUUGUAACUAACUAAGCUAGCUAAUAUCUUUCUAACAAACUAUUAACUAACAGCCUUAACAAUAAUCAGUUAACUAAUCACGUGAUGGUGCCAUGUCACAUACGUAUUAACCUUUCUCAUCCUCAAUAAAAACAAGACUGAGCUCUUGAGCAACUUUUCGCGCUCUCAAUCUUAUACAGUAGUUGAUAUCGAACCAGAAUGUUUUUCGAGUAUCAACAAGCAAAUGUUAGCAAAACUCGUUCGAGUGAGAGAUGUUAAACAGUU
rnacentral:lncRNA from 1 species